CUUUGUAACUAUCUUCCCAAGCUCUGCUUAUUAGUCCCAGUUGUCCUUAAUAGAGUACUUUACUCUCAUCUAAGCCUCUGACCCCUCAAGCUGUGCUCAGUUUGAAACACUAAUAACAAAAAUGCCAAAUGAAUCGCGGAAAAAGAUGGUAGGAUCAUAAGGCUCGCGGUGUAACUUGUGGCAGAUGGAAAACCAGCUCAGACAUGUCCUCUGGAGUGACAGCAGAUGAUUGCUCCCUCUUUAAAUGGGAGUCAUACUGUUGGUUGGAUAUUCUUCUAGACCUUGAGAGGCUGUGGAUGUGGAAUCAAAGACCUAAAUUCAAAUCCCUGCUCUGCCAUUUCAUUCCUGGCUCACCUUUACCUUUUGGAGGUAUAAUGUCCUCAUCUCAAAAUGACUGUUUGUUAUAUUCCCUAUUCAAUUAUUUUCAUCUUUAAAUCUCAAUCAUGGAUCACCUCAGUUAAAAGACAAUGUUCAAGAGGUGAUGAGUGAAAAAAAAUCAAUAUUCUGUGAAUGACAAGGUGAUGUAUCCCUUGAAAUUUAGCCAGAGCAUUUCUUAGACAAUAAAUAUACAGUUUACUUUACGAAUCA
rnacentral:lncRNA from 1 species